rnacentral:tRNA from 1 species
GAGGAUAUAGUUCAGUGGUAGAGUGCGUGCUUAGCAUGCAAGAGGUCCUGGGUUCAGUCCCCAGUACCUUCG